rnacentral:rRNA from 1 species
UACGUAGGGUGCAAGCGUUAAUCGGAAUUACUGGGCGUAAAGCGUGCGCAGGCGGUUUUGUAAGUCUGACGUGAAAUCCCCGGGCUCAACCUGGGAAUUGCGUUGGAGACUGCAAGGCUGGAGUCUGGCAGAGGGGGGUAGAAUUCCACGUGUAGCAGUGAAAUGCGUAGAGAUGUGGAGGAACACCAGUGGCGAAGGCGGCAUCCUGGCCCUGUCCUGACGCUCAGGGGCGAAAGCGUGGGGAGCAAACCGG